rnacentral:lncRNA from 1 species
GGGAAUUGAUUUCAGCGGCCUUUGACAUAUUACUGAAAACAAUACGGCAAAAUACAACCUUUUCCUUCUUACUGCUACCUAAAGGCUUUAACUGGGAAAGCAGUUUACAAUGGUGCCCCCAUGUAAGGCUUUAUUCAAAAGAUUUUACGCUUGAUAACAUCUGAGCCAUAGGCGCUGUAUGUGGGGUUUAGCAUUUUAGCAGCUGCAAUUCUUAAUCCCGAUUCCGUUGCCUCCAUAUUAAAAGCUCCAUGGUCACAGGACACCAGCUUUGGCCGUUCUACAUUGUCAUUCAUUCCUCCCCCCCAACACGCGUGCCUGACCAUAUAGGAAAAUGAGUUUACAACCGACUACGCCUAUGGGACUCCCGGAGGGAUACAAUGUGAGAGCCUUUACUAGUGGUGGAUGGUCCUCAAAAGAUUUGAAAGUUUGGUCUGGAAGGAACAAUACAUAUCUUGGCACUUCACAACAACUGUUGGCAUAAUUUUCAGGAGAACAUGUAUAUCUUUUCACGUAGAGUCCAUGCCUGCUUUUAUGAUGAUUAUAUGGAAAAUAUAGAUGUCAGCAAGUAAUUCUGCGCUCUGUUUUGCUAAUUUCUACUGUGUGUACAAUAUAUCUACAGAUCAGGUAAUUAUGUCACUAAUAAUAUUUGUACUAAUUAUUGCUAUUAGAAUCUAUCAAUAGUAUAAUAUUAGUGUCAGUAGUAUUGCUA